rnacentral:rRNA from 1 species
UACGUAGGGGGCUAGCGUUGUCCGGAAUCAUUGGGCGUAAAGCGCGUGUAGGCGGUCCGGUAAGUCCGCUGUGAAAGUCGGGGGCUCAACCUCGAGACGCCGAUGGAAACCAUCUGGCUAGAGUCCGGAAGAGGAGAGUGGAAUUCCUGGUGUAGCGGUGAAAUGCGCAGAUAUCAGGAAGAACACCCGUGGCUAAGGCGGCUCUCUAGUACGGUACUGACGCUGAGACGCGAAAGCGUGGGGAGCGAACAGG